rnacentral:rRNA from 1 species
UCCGUAGGGCGCAAGCGUUGUCCGGAAUUAUUGGGCGUAAAGAGCUCGUAGGCGGUUUGUCGCGUCUGCUGUGAAAACUCGAGGCUCAACCUCGGGCUUGCAGUGGGUACGGGCAGACUAGAGUGCGGUAGGGGUGACUGGAAUUCCUGGUGUAGCGGUGGAAUGCGCAGAUAUCAGGAGGAACACCGAUGGCGAAGGCAGGUCACUGGGCCGCAACUGACGCUGAGGAGCGAAAGCAUGGGGAGCGAAUGGG